rnacentral:rRNA from 1 species
GAUGAACGCUAGCGGCAGGCCUAAUACAUGCAAGUCGAGGGGCAGCACGGGUAGCAAUAUCUGGUGGCGACCGGCGCACGGGUGCGUAACGCGUAUGCAACUUACCCUUAACAGGAGGAUAGCCCGGAGAAAUUCGGAUUAAUACCCCAUAAUACAAUUGGAUGUCAUCAUUUGAUUGUUAAAGCUCCGGCGGUUAAGGAUGGGCAUGCGUGACAUUAGCUAGUUGGUGAGGUAACGGCUCACCAAGGCAACGAUGUCUAGGGGAUCUGA